AAACGGACGUCCGCUGUCAGCUUAAACACAGGUCUGUUUCAUGCACCAUAAAAACACUGCAGUCAGAGGAGGUGUUGGAGUUGGAUACCACCAUGUGACCAUAUGAACAUUAUUGCUUACUGGGCCAAUAUACUGUAUGUAAAUAGGAGUCACUGUUUGCUUACGUUACAUCUGGCAAAACUGCAUGAGCAAUGUGGAAAGAGCAGACUGCACCAAAGAUCUGAGUUGGCCUUGCAAUCCAUAAAAAUUUACUAGUUGAUGAAAACCUUUUCAUACUUGCAUCGCUACGUGGACUUGUUAACAGUGUGGCAGCAACUCAGUGGCAGCCCACUUGUUGCAAACUUCAGCUGGUGAGCAGCAGCAAGCCAGCAGAGGGAAGCCGGAUACCUGAUUCUAGAACCGAUGUGACAUUUAAGCAGAUGAAGCAGUAAACAGCAGGGGGAAAAUUCAAGCUGUUACAGACAUAGUACAAAUUAGGAGCCAAGGAAGCCGAAAAGUGGGGGAAGUACUCACUAUGCUAACUAAAGUAGCCUUUUGGAUAUGAA